rnacentral:rRNA from 1 species
GACGAACGCUGGCGGCGUGGAUUAGGCAUGCAAGUCGAACGGUAGGAUCCUUUCGGGGAUCUGAGAGUGGCGAACGGGUGAGUAACGCGUAGGUGAUCUACCUUCAGAUGGGGGACAACCCAGGGAAACUUGGGCUAAUACCGCAUGUGUCCGAGAGGAUAAAGCCGGCCUCUGCUUGCAAGCUGGUGUCUGGAGCUGAGCCUGCGUCUGAUUAGCUAGUUGGUGGGGUAACGGCCUACCGAGGCGAUGAUAAGUAGGCGGCUUUAACGAGUGGCCGCCCACACUGGGAUUGAGAAACGGCCCAGACUCCUACGGGUGGCUG